UUUAGGAGAAGUCUUAUUGUGAGGGCGAGUUAUAUAACACCAUAGGACUGGCCGUCCCAUAUGAAAAGAUUAUAUUAGAAUUGAAUGAAGCUUUGUUUAUAUAUUGAUAAUGACAGUAUAUAUAUCGUGUCUUGACUAAUUGCGUGCCAGCAGUCGCGGUAAUACGUAAGAGACUAGUGUUAUUCAUCUUAAUUAGGUUUAAAGGGUACCCAGACGGUCAAUAUAGCUUAUAAAAUGUUAGUACUUGACUAGAGUUUUAUGUAAGAGGGCAGUACUUGAGGAGGAGAGAUGAAAUUUCGUGAUACCAAAGGGACUCUGUAAAGGCGAAGGCAGCCCUCUAUGUAAAAACUGACGUUGAAGGACGAAGGCACAGAGAACAAACAGGAUUAGAUACCCAAGUAGUCUUUGCAGUAAAUGAUGAAUGCCAUAGGUUAGAUUGGUCAAUUAUAGUCUAGGGUUAGUCUAGCAAACUAAUACCCUAUGCUAUAAUCCUAAUAUCUGGUCUAUAAAUGAAAGUGUAAGCAU
rnacentral:rRNA from 1 species